CUAAUUGUUCUUUUUUAUAGUCUUUCCAAUUGUAUUUUCAGGUGAAUACAAUUUAAAAUAUUAUAAACCACACCGUCCGUAUCACCGCAUGUGCAUUCGUCAUUCUAUAUCUUCUAUAAAGAACUUCGAAAAUAAAUUAUAAUAGACGAAAAAUAAUUACUGUAUCCGAAAACAACAGUCCGAAAAAUUUUACGCGUUUGCCACAUUAAUUAAAAUGUGCAUAUCGUUUGACUGCAGACGUUGCAAAACCUAGCAAAUAUACAAUUUGGUUGCCAUAUUGCUUUACAAUAGCAUUUUUGUGGGUAAAAAACAACUUAAUUAUCACCUUUUAAUUUCAAACGAUAAUCGGCAAAAAGAUGUAACAUCGUCGAAAUAGAACUAAUUAUUUAAUUAUCAUCCUUUAAUUCAGAUCGAUAGUCGGGAGAAAGGUGUUACAGGGUUUUCAUUAGGAUUCUUUGUAGCAGGCUUUUGAGUUAUUUGAGGAGGCCAACCUGCUAGGGGGGUCCGGGGGCAUGCCCCCCCCCCCCUGAAAUUUUUUGAAAUAAAGGUGCCAAAUCGUGGCUUCUGAGCGAUUUUGGGCACAUAUUUUUCAUGAUUUUCCUCAGUUAAAAUAGAGGAUGUUAAUGUGAAUUGUUAAGUCCUCAGGUUACAUCAACUCUCAGAGGUGUCAAUUGUCCCAAGUUUGAAAUCCUGAAAAUAAAAUCUGGGUGCCGAUAGGGCCCACGGUGGGUUCAGGGCACACCCUGGACAGGGGUCCAGGGAGCCAGAGGCCCCCGGAAGCACCUGUAAUUUAACUUAUUUGAAACAAAGAAAUCGCUUCUCCUGAGCUUUAAGACACCUGUAUUUUUAAGAGAUCAGGCUUUUUCCGCCCAUAGCCACGGGUCCGAAUAUCGGCCCCAUUCCCAAUUCAAAUCCGGUUGUUUUUUUCCCAAUUGAAAAAAAAAAUCCCAAUUCGAACUUCCAACGAUCGCAAACUUGAUUUUUUUCGGCUGCUAAAAACGCGCAAAAUAACGGUACAUUAAUCCGCAAACUAAACAUUGCCGAAAACCCGCGAGUUUUUGAGCCCGGCUUUGUAUCGAUCAAUACUGCGCGCACGUUUAUGUGCAGGUAACCAUUAAUCGUCAUGGCGUCUCACAACAGUAAAUACUACGUUCCGAAAAUAAGAAAGAAAGAUGCAAAAAAUACGCCGACAAUUUCGUCUCUUUUUAAAAAGCAAACUAAAAAAACAACUACAUCGGGUGAGCAGCCACAAGAGACAGAUUUGAUACAUCAAACAGAAGUUACCCAGCCCCCACCAGGACUGACUGACACAGAGGUGUCCCAUCCCCCACAAGAACUCACAGAAGUGACACAGUUCCAAUCAAAUACAAGAGAACAUUAGUUUGUGAGAACUUAAAGACUUCCGGUUCAGAAGCUGAUGCCACAUAUGCAAUUGUUAUUGUCUUGUUACUUUGACAUUGUGGUUAAGAAAUGUUGAAUACUGA